GGAGCUUCAUGGUUGUCUUUUGGAGAAAUGACCAGUCAAGUUGUGUUUGAAAUUUGAUUUUUUUCAGGGGCAAAAGGAGCCUCUGCAUUGUUGUCAAAUAUGUAAAUAGCAUGUUUUUGCAGGUGCUAAAAAACAGACUCUGAGUGUGUGUGUGUGUGUGUGUGUGUGUGUGUGUGUGUGUGUGUGUGUGUGUGUGUGUGCGUGUGUGUGUGUGUCUGUGUUUGUGUGUGUCUGUGUGUGUGUAUCCUGCAGUACUCUGUACUCCUGCAGUGGCCAAAACGACUUUUAAGAAUGUGGAUAUUUGGGUCAUCUUUGGCGCCCCCUAGAACGUAAACCAUGGGGUGCAGCGGCAUGAUUUUUACAACUUUGAAUGGCCAUGGGAUGUAGAUCGGCUUGAGCAAAUUUGGUGUCGGUGGGAAGAAAGCCUUAGGAGGAGUUAGCCACAUUCCAAUGUGUGCGAAUCUGCAAAAAAUGCGAAAUAGCCCUUUAACCAUACAUUUUACAGAUACGUGCCCAUUGACUUUUUCGUAGAUCUUAUUGAGAUACACGUGAUUGUCAAAUUUUGGGUCAAUAUGACAAAGCGUAUAGGCGUGACACUCAACAAUGUGUAUUUUCACCUUAGGGGACAAGAAAAAAUGGACUUUUUUCUCCUGCCAUGUGGGGGCGCUCUUUUGGGGAGUAAAAAUUCCUUCACAAAUGUGUUGAUGGCUGGACAUUGCAUCAUCCUAGAGAACUUGGAGGCCAGUGAGGACAAAAAUAAAAAGUUAUAAGACUUUUAAGACUGUGGAUUUUUGGGUUAUCUUUGGCGCCCCCUAGAACGUAAACUGUGGGGUGCAGCGUCAUGAUUUGUACAACUUUUAAUGGCCAUGGGGUGUAGAUUGGCCUGAGCAAAUGUGGUGCCGGUGGAACGAAUGCCUUCGGAGGAGUUAGCGAAAUUCCAAUGUGUGCAGAUCGGCAAAAAAUGCGAAAUAACCCUCUAACUGUACAUUUCACAGAUGCGCCCGCGCUGACUUUUUCGUAGAACGUAUUGAGAUACACGUGUGUGUCAAUUUUUGUGUCAAUAUGACAAAGCGUACAGGCGUGACAGUCAAUAGUGUGAAUUUUCGCCUUAGGGGGCGCUAUGGAGCCAUUUUGCAUUUUAUUGUUUGGGCGACUUCAGAAUAUCGAAUUUUUCACCAGGCCCGGUCGUCCUGCCAAAUUUCAUGAGUUUUCGCCAGUGGGAAGUCGGCCAUUUUCCAGUUUAAAGCGGAGGAAAAAUAAUAACUAGGGCCCCGUUGGGGCACUGGCGGGCCCGAGCUGUGUCGCGUCCCCCCCCUCAACGCGCUGCCUCCCCGUCCCAUUUGUGUCCUCUGGCCAUCGCCCUCUCUGGUAACGCCCAUCACUGCAAAGACCCUUUUCCUUCAUCGGCGUUUGCUGUUCUUCCUGCCAGUGCGUGUUGCUUUCACUUACACUUGCCACAGCCAGCCUCGUGAGUGCCUAGCCUAUUGGAUAUCACUGUCACCUACACAGGACAGUCAUUACCUUUCUAUUAAUACUUUGUUUUUUAAUUUCACAUUAAUUUCCAUAUUGUCUAAACAACUGGAAAAAACUUGAGCCCCUGCCCCUGUAUAAUCAUGUGCACGUCCCUGUUCUAGCUCCAAGGUGAAUCUUCACUGCUCAUGUUCUCCUCAGAAGCAGUCACCUCACUCCCCUCAGGUUACUGUACACAUGCACCAACUGCCUGCUUCAGGUUUGGAUGGAGCUUCAUGGUUGUCUUUUGGAGAAAUGAGCAGUCAAGUUGUGUUUGAAAUUUCAUUUUUUUCAGGGGCAAUAGGAGCCUCUGCAUUCUUGUCAAAUAUGUAAAUAGCAUGUUUUUGCAGGUGCUGAAAAACAGACUCUGAGUGUGUAUGUGUGUGUGUGUGUGUGUGUGUGUGUGUGUGUGUGUGUGUGUGUGUGUGUGUG